rnacentral:rRNA from 1 species
UACGUAGGGCGCAAGGCGUUGUUCGGAUUUACUGGGCGUAAAGGGCGCGUAGGCGGCAAUUCAAGUCAGCUGUGAAAUCUCCGGGCUUAACUCGGAACGGUCAGCUGAUACUGCUUUGCUAGAGUGCGGAAGGGGCAAUCGGAAUUCUCGGUGUAGCGGUGAAAUGCGCAGAUAUCAGGAAGAACACCUAUGGCGAAGGCAGCUCUCUGGGACGGUACU